UAGCGGGUUAUUGCCAAGACUGAAGUGGUAAUGUUUAGUAAAAAUAUGCUUUAUCUUGGUUAGUAGGGUAGUAAAGUUUUUGUGAGCUGUGAUAAGGAAGUUAAGCAGAUACGCUGGGGGCAAAUGUGUCACAGUGCAAUGUAGCUAAUGAGGAAACAGCAUUAGGUAUGUCUCCCAAGAAAGUAUUAGUUUGUGGACUAACUGUGGGAAUCUGAUGAUGAUGGGUAAUGGCAACUAACAUUUGAGUUACUAUACCCCAGGCACUGUGCUAAACACUUUACAUGGCAUAUCCUCACAGCUUUCCCAUCUAGCAGGGAAUAUUAGGUACAUUUUAGAGGAGAACAUUAAGGUUGACUGAGCCAAAGUAGCACACCCAAGGUGUGAUACAGCCUGCGUUCAAACCCAGGUUGUCCCAUACUCUAGAGACUGUGAUGUUAGGACAAAGUGUGAUUUCAGAAGAUUUGUAAAGAGAAGAAAGUUGUUAGAAUCACUUCUCUAAAGCAUGCUGAUUUUGAGAUUGCUAAAAUUAGAAACUGUACCAGAAUUUACAUGACACUUUGUUUGGUUUUGAAUUAAGUCAUUAUGAGGAAGUACAUUAAAAAAUGUUAAAAGGUUCUUCCUGGGAAUUUGUAAUGCAUUCUUCAGUUCUAAUAAAUGUAUUCUUAUAUGCUG
rnacentral:lncRNA from 10 species